rnacentral:rRNA from 1 species
UACAGAGGUCUCAAGCGUUGUUCGGAUUCAUUGGGCGUAAAGGGUGCGUAGGUGGCGCUGUAAGUCGGGUGUGAAAUCCCUGGGCUCAACCCAGGAAGUGCACUCGAAACUGGCAGGCUUGAGUACUGAAGAGGGUCGCGGAAUUCCCGGUGUAGAGGUGAAAUUCGUAGAUAUCGGGGAGGAACACCGAUGGCGAAGGCAGCUCGCUGGGACGGUACUGACGCUGAGGCGCGAAAGCGUGGGGGAGCAAACAGG